rnacentral:piRNA from 1 species
UGAGACAUUCGCCACAGGCCAGAAAGUAU